AGUCACUGACAUUAGAUACCCGCGUAGCCCAGGGUGUAAACGCUGCGGGCUUGGUGUUGGGGGUCCUUUGAGGGCGCCCAGUGCCGGAGAGAAGUUGUUAAGCCUGCUGCUUGGGGAGUACGUCCGCAAGGAUGAAACUUAAAGGAAUUGGCGGGGGAGCACCGCAACGGGAGGAGCGUGCGGUUCAAUUGGAUUCAACGCCGGACAACUCACCAGGAGCGACGGUUACAUGAAGGCCAGGCUGAUGACCUUGCCUGAUUUUUCCG
rnacentral:rRNA from 1 species